CUUUCCGGAGCAUCACAGGGGACCCAGGGCCUGAAGCUGGGCUGGCAGGGCCCACUCCUGUCCUGAUGCUCCAUCUUGACUCCGCCUCCUGGCCGAGAGUGACAACGUACCAAUGAGAGGUCAUCGAUGACAUGCUGCUGUUCCAGCACCUGCAGCCUCAGGAACUCAAUCUCCUGCUCAUCCCUGGUCAGACUGAGACCCAAGAUUAGUGACAGAAUUGAGUCCUGCUGUUGUCAACUAAACGGUGAAGUUUGCAGCUGGGACUUCUCUGGAGCAGCCGAGCACUGUCCUCAAGGGCUGCGCUCCCUGUGUCCAGGAAGCAGGUACAGCCGAGGAAGUUCAAGCCAAAGGAGGAAGCAGAUACACUUGCUUAGAUGAAGAUGCCACACCCUCCUCCAGCUUCCCUCCUCCUGCCUGUAGGGACAAAGACAUGAUGGCUGGUGGGCCGUGAAUAAACAACCAUGAUACUAGCAUUGAA